UGAUCCUGGCGAGCCAGAGCGGGGAGGGAGGCCGGCGCCGGCCAGCUGCUCUUCCCCAACUUCAACCAGGACAACACAGCAGUGAAACGGGGAUCAAGAGCAACUGGUCCUGGCCAUCGCGCUGUUGUCUGGUCCCUAGCUGUUGGUAGUAAGUCCGGUUAUAAAUUUUCCUUUCUUCUGUGGAUAGGCUGGAACGGAUCUAUGAAUGCACCAACACGGAAGGUGUAUGCAUUGUAGAGAGAUUGUUCUCUAGCAGCUUAGUGGCCAUAGUGAGCCUUAAAGCACCAAGGAAGCUAAAGGUGUGCCUCACUUUAAGAAGGGAACUGAGAUCUGCAACUACAGCUACUCCAACACGAUUCUGGCUGUGAAGCUCAACAGGCAGAGGCUGAUAGUAUGCCUGGAAGAGUCCCUGUACAUCCACAACAUUCGGGACAUGAAGGUACUGCACAGGAUCAGGGAGACGGCUCCAAACCCUGCAGGCCUGUGUGCACUGUCAAUCAACAAUGACAACUGCUAUUUGGCCUACCCAGGAAGCGCAACCAUCGGACAGGUGCAGGUCUUCGAUACCAUUAAUUUGAGAGCUGCAAACAUGGUUCCGGCUCAUGACAGUCCUUUAGCAGCGUUGGCUUUUGAUGCUAGUGGCACUAAGCUUGCCACGGCAUCGGAGAAGGGGACCGUGAUUAGGGUAUUUUCCAUUCCAGAGGGACAAAAACUCUUUUGAGUUUCGGAGAGAAGAGGUGCGUGAGCAUCUGCUCCCUGGCCUUCAGCAUGGACAGCAUGUUCCUUCCGCCUCCAGCAACACGGAGACCAUGCACAUCUUCAAACUCGAAACUGUGAAAGAAAAACCCGCAGAGGAGCUCACCACCUGGACUGGGUACUUUGGGAAAGUGCUCAUGGCCUCCACCAGCUACCUGCCUUACCAAGUGACAGAAAUGUUCAACCAGGGCCGAGCCUUUGCCACAGUCCGCCUGCCAUUCUGCAGCCACAAAAACAUCCGCUUGCUAGCCACAGUUCAGAAGAUCCCACGGUUGCUGGUGGGCGCCUCCGACGGGUAUCUGUACAUGUACAACCUGGACCCCCAGGAGGGCGGCGAGUGCACCCUGAUGAAGCAGCACCGGCUGGAUGGCAGUCUGGAGACGGCCAAUGAGAUCUUGGACUCUGCCUCUCACGACUGCCCCUUAGUCAUUCAGGCGUACGGCACAGCUGCAGCAAAAGCCUAUGCAGACGACCUGGGUGCCAUGGGUGGCACCUACCUGGAGGAUGAGGCCAGCGCCCUGCGCCUGGAUGAGGACAGCGAGCAGCCCCCCAUGAUUCUUCGGACUGACUGAACUUGACCUAUGACCUCUGACCCGGGGAGCAGAGAACACUGGCUUCACAGAGGACUUUGUGCAAUGCUGCUAUUAACUUUGACCUGAGUCGAGGGAGAGGAUGGCAGCGACUUUAUUAAAAAAUAAAAAUAAAGAUUGUAGUGGUAGUCUAACUCCACAAUGCUGAGGAAAUACAUCGUUUUCACUUCAGUGGCUUUUAAUCUUGCUUAUGAAUUUUAGCUUUUUCUCUUUUUGCCAAAAUUAACUGUUUGGUGAAGCCCGCAAAACCUCCUUGCUUUGCAUGCCUGAAUGUGCCAAGCCAGCGUAGAAGAGCUAGAAGCCACUUUCCAACCACCUGCCAUUGGGUUUUUCAUAUCUGUACAUAUGCCAAGUGCGUCAGAAAGCCGUGGCCGAGCACACUGGGCCUGCUUGUCAAGGCUGGUUCUGCAGUGACAGGUCCAAGGCUGCCCACUGGGUGUGCUGGGCAGACUUUGCGGCCUGGGACACGAGUCCUCUCUCCCUAGGGCCCCCCCUGGACCAUUUUCCCUCCAUUUUAUUUUGUUAAUUAAAUUCUUUCCAGAUUAGAUCAUCCUGGGAUUUUUUCCAUGGUGGACUUCUGUUUCUGAUCUUGUUUUCCAUGUGGAUCUCGGAGGAGAGCGAGGUUCUUUCUGAUACUAAAAACCUUUCUGUCAGGCAGCAAAUGAACUUGAAAGAUUGCCUGGACUCCCCGGAGCAAAGGAAAGUGAUUUUGUUUGUAUAAUUAAGUGAUCUGUUCUUCUACUAAAAAAA